rnacentral:ncRNA from 2 species
ACAAAAAUAAAAGCGCCGGGACUUACCAAUGGUAAGUUGACGAGGACAGGGUUUAUCGAGUAAUCGGCGGAUGCCCUGCGGCUGACCACCGAAAGCGGCCAGACAAAACCUAAAAGCGAUUUUAGGGACAAAGGGGCCAGGUCAAAGACA